rnacentral:lncRNA from 1 species
UGAAACUGAAGCAAUAUUUUCUUUAUAGCAUUGUAAACGGCAAAACUGUAAAUUAAACCAUAAACAAAAGAACUCAGCUUAUUUGAUUCCCCACUUGAGUUUCAAAUAAGCACCCAUAAACAAGAAAACAACAAGUCUAGCUAGCAUUGGGUCCGAUCCUCAUCAGUAUAUUAUAUUCCUCCCUCACCUCCUAUAUAAUAAAGUAACGGGAAAUAGAACUCAGAAACUACAAUUAGGUGGACUUGACAGCUGAAUAAUAGUACGAAUAAAAACCAUAAACAGAAAUGCUCAGACGACCACAAUUUCAGCACCAGUAACACUUCCACCAGCACCAAGACAAUCCCAGAACAGUAACACAGAAACACAAUCAGCAGCAAACACAACAGAGUCUUGAAGGAACAUUUAACGAUACAUGAAAUUAAUUUGUAUUAAUUAAAAAUAAAUUUAUAUGAAAUUAUUUAAAUGUUUAAAAAUAAAUUCAAACUUAUUGAAAUUAUUUAGAGAGAGCAGACUGCCUUGAAGGAAGCGGCAGCAGUGGACUUGAAGGAAGCAGCGAUGGCUUCUAGAUCAUGAAGCCAAAAGGAAGCAAAGGUCAAAAUCGGCAGUGAAGGGGCUUAGAGAGCUCGGUUCUUGAAGGAAGCGACAGCGGCAGUGACCACAACAGAGCCAGAAGGAAGCGGCGGCAGCUGUGGACUUGAAGGAAGCAGCGAUGGCUUCUAGAUCGUGAAGCCAAAAGGAAGCAAAGGUCGGCAGCGGCAACAAAGCUACAAGGAAGCGGCAGCGGCAAUUAGAAUCUAGAAGGAAGCGGCAAAGGUCUGUUUCUGUGGUUCGGCAAAAGAAAGGAAAGGAAACAUGGGUUAAACGCACCGUUUUCAAUUUAAUCAAAACGGUGCGUUUUAAAUUCGGGGCGCGAUUCGGGGU